rnacentral:lncRNA from 12 species
AUGAACUCCUUUUUUCUUGUGGAUGGAGUCGUAGAUUUACUGGAGAAGAUAUUCUCUUUUGCUGAGACUUCAGGACCCAAGGGCUUUUCUGGUGAUGGUGUGGCCUUCCUACUGUCAUUGUCUGGUGGUGAUAUUGUCUUUUCUUUGGAUGAAGGAAGUGGAGUUAUAUUAUCUCCAUUGAUGGAGGUUAGCAGGAAAGAGGAUGAUGCUGGUUGUGGUGUGGUCCUCUCAUUUUUAGUAGUGAUAUCAAUGGAGACUGGUGGAUUGGUUGAAGCUGGUGGAGGUGCAGCAUUUUCUUUAGUUGUGGCUGGUGGAGGUGUGGUCUUGUCAUUAGUUAAGACUGAUGGUGGAGUGGCCUUGUCAUCAACUGAGCCUAAUGAAGAGGAGGCAACCUCAACGGUUGAUGAUGCAGAUAGUGUGGUCUUUUCAUUACCUGAGUCUGAUAAUGUGGAGGUUGGCUCAAUAGUUGGUGCUGGUAGAGGUUUGGCUUUUUUAUUGGCUAAUGCUGUGGGAGGCGUGGAUUUUUCAUUGGCUAGGCCGGGCAAAGUGGAGAUUGUCUCAUUAGUUGAGACUGGUAGAGGUGUGGUUCUCUCUUUGGUUAAGUCUAAUGAAGAUGUUGUUUUAUCAUCAGUUGAGGCUGGUGGAGGUUUGUUCUUGUCAUCAUUGGAGCCUAAUGUAGCAGAGAUUGUCUCAGCGGUUGAUGCUGGUAGGGGUGCAGUCUUUUUCUUGGAGGUUGUCUCAUUGGUUGAGGCUUGUGGAGAUGUGGUCUCUUCAUUAGUUGUCCUUUUAUUAGCUGACUCUGAUGUAGUUGUGUUCUCUUCAUUUGUUGAGGCUGUUGAAGGCGCAGUCUUAUUAGCGGAGACUGUCUCAUUAGUUGAAGUUAGCAGAGGUUUGUUUUCGUCGUCACUGCAGCUUAAUGUAGUAGAGAGUGUCUUAGUGGUUGAUGCUGGUGGAGGUGUAGUCUUUUCUUUAGGUGAGGCAGGCAAAGUGGAGGUUGUGCAAUUGGUUGAGGCUUGUGGAGAUAUGGUCUUUUCAUUAGUUGUCUCUGAUGGAGUUGUGUUCUUUUCAUUAGCUGAGGCUGGUGGAGGUUUGUUCUUUUCAUCACUGGAGGCUAAUAAAGUGGAGAUUGUUUCAAUGGUUGAUGUUGAUGAAGGUUUGUUCUUGUCAUCACCUAUACCUAAUGAAGUGGAGGGAGACCUAAUGGUUAAUGAGGCAGAUGGUGUGGUUUGUUCAUUAGCUGAGCCUGAUAAUGUGUAG